GGGAAGAAACUUGAUUGUAACAGGAAUGGUUUAUUAUUUAUUAAUCUUUAUCCUACACCAUCCUUCCACUUUCUGAGGGGCAGUGGCACACCGACUCACUGUGGAAUUACCCAAAGAAUAAGAGACUGUCCAGCAUCACCCCCUACACCCACCACCACGUGGAUACUUUCAAAGAGGUGCUCCAGGCCAGAGGCAAGAUUGCACCAAGAUGAGCAAUGUUAGUGCAGUAGAGACCAGCAUGGGAUCUGAUCCCCUUUGUGGAGUGGUCCCACUGACUUCCACCAUCCCAUGGGAGGCUGAAGACCCCAUUGCAGGCCUUUGUGGUUUGGGGAGGACCUUCUGAGAAUAAGACCUAACCAGUGCUGGGGAAGCUAGGAGGCUAAGGGAGGAAUGGGGCCAGACCUGAGCAUGGACAGUGUGUGGACCACUGCUGAGAGCUCGGUUCUUACACUGCAGGUUCUUCUCUCAGCUGGGACUUUUGGCUAUGAAGCUAACAUCAUUCAUAGCACUCUCCCUCCGGGGUUUGUAUUCCUGUGCCAGAAAGGUCCUGCAGAGCAAACACUGAACUUCCCUUAAAUGGGAAAAUAGCAAAAGGAAAGGGAUUUGCACUAUGAAAAGUGCCAAGUGAUUUCUGCUUCUGCAUCAGACGCCAACAAAAUAGACACAUUUGCAGUUAGGUACCCAUGUUUUGAGUUUUUAAUUGCACGAUAUAUGGUGUCACUGAAAAGUCAACCCAGAGAAGCACAUUCUGUGCUGCUGCUCCCUCGGCUGCUCUUACUGAGCAGAGCCGGUUGCUCGGCGCAUGAACCUCUCCAGCCAUUUGAACAUUUCAUAAAAAGCUGCACUUCUGGAAGGUUUGAUAUGUUUGCCAGUAUCCGCACAGGCCCUAGCAAUUUAUUUUUUGGUAGUAAGUACUACUCAUUCAUUGAACUUCAGAGUUUUCCUGUGUGGUUUUAAAAGUAAUUUGGCCAGAGGUAAGAGCUGCAGACCCCAUGGGCUGUAGCCAGCAUUUGUUUCACAUAAAUCAUGGAUUGCUUUAGGUUACAUUUUCUUUAGAAUGGAAAGCUAAUUUGUUUAGUUAUGUUGGUCUGAGGGCAUCAAGUUGGACCGUAUUGUCACUGGUAAUAAAAACAAGCUCACAGACUGCUCAGGACAUCAGUAAAGAUAAUUGGUCAAAUUACUUCAUCCAGCCAUAACUCUAACUCUAAAGGUAGACAUCUGAUAAGUUAGUCAAAGCGUCACCUUUCAUGAGCUAUCAGUUCAUACAUCACUCUUGACAUGAAAAGGGCCUCAUUCCCACAGCUUUAGUACCAGAAGGUUUUUUUAUUCUUAAAAAUAGCAUCUGUGCACAAGAUAGUCUUGGAAAUUUUAUACCAGCAACUAAUAUCUUACUGAAUCAGACUUUAAGGAUAGUUCUCCUGGGAUGUUUAAGUUUAUUUUGUAAUUGUACUACUCAUUCACUGAAGUAACACCUUUCAAGUCAAUCCUUAAUAUUAAAUCCAAGCAAAAGAAGAAAUCAUGCUUCCAGCUUCUAACGGUAAAAUGAAAUAAGUUUUAUUAUUCAGUAAAAUUAUUUAUGGACAAGUGGCAUCUUGGCAGCAUCUGUCAUCAUUACGUGUCAGACUAACAGAACCAGUUUUUAAAUUAAAAGAUUCUUUGCUAAUUUAUUAAUUAUAUGGCCUCUCUGUUUAAAAUUUUAGUGCUGCACUUCACAGCACUGUAAAAUAAUUCUAAGGAACAAGACAGUGGUCUCAUUCAUGAAUGGUAUGAGGAUGUUGCCUCUGCUCCUACAGCAGGCGUUGCCAAAACCCCGCCAAUGACCACUGCUGGUGGCCUCCCAGGCCUGGAGUCCUAAAGCUUUCCUCCUUUGCUUUGACAUGGAAGUAACCCUGUCAAAAAGAGCUCUCUCUAACAGAUAAUACUGGAUAUGGAUCCAGAUAUCGUGUUCCUCUCCUUACAUUGAUUUUGCUGAAGAAUUAAAAUUUGGGAGGAGUAAAGACAUCUCUGCCCCCAAACUUUAGUUCUCUUCACAAACAGAAAGGUUGCGCCACCAUGUUACAAUUCAUUUACCUCCUGCUUUGAUCAUUUUUUUGCUACUGUCAAUCUUUAAUAGGUCUGGCUGCAUUGGUUUUGAUGGAAUUCAUGACCCUAGAGGAUCAAAGGUGUUAACAUGACCCUGGCUUUGUACAGCAUUAAAUAAUGAAACAACAUACAAGGUUUCAGAUGUAGAAACUUCAGCCUCCUUAGUCUGAUGAUCUUUUAAUGUUAUAAGGAAGGAAACAUUAAGUAAAGCAUUUGAGAUGUGACUCGUUAAACUUUUUGUUCUAACA